rnacentral:lncRNA from 1 species
GGAUGGAGAGCUUGUGCUGGAACGUUUUUCUUUUAGCUCUAGAAUGUGUUUCACGGUGGUUUCUGUUUCAUAAAAAAAAGCACUUUUCCUUUUAAGCAUUGAUUUCGUUUUCAUUUAAAGAAACACAUUUUCAUUUUAUUUCAGUAGAAACACUAUGCCAUCAUGGUGAUUUAUUUCUCUUGAAAAGCAUUGAUUUAAAUUAAAAGAAGCACGACAUUUUUUUUUAAUUUAGAAUGAAGAGCACGAAUUUUAUUUUGGAAGAAAAAGAAUUCAUUUCUUUCUUUUAGAAGUUGGAGGCUCUCGAUGAUUGCAUCUAAUACAUUUCUUUUGGAGAAAAGCAUUUGCCACGGUCUGGAAGAGUGCAACACACGUGAUUAAUCUUUGGAGGUGAUUUUAUUUUGUGAUACAAUUUUUAAUUUCCAUUUGAAGAGAAGGUGCAGCCAUGCAGGAGUUACAUAUUUUGAUUGAACUUUAAUUUUUAGAAGAGCUCACGGUUCACGUAGAUUUGCAGCACGGUUUUUUUAUUUUAUUUUAAUUACUUUUAUGCCUUUAGAUAUUAUUAUGUAUUAGAAUGCAUCUAGCUUGGAAUACUUUACUUGCUUAUUUUAGUAUUUUCCUUUCUUUUCAUUUAGUAUUGUUUAAUUGAUGGAGGUUUGUUGGAAAGUUGUUGCGUGGUGUAUAUUCUGUUGCAUUUAAUAGCAUUGGAUGAAUUUUCUUUUUAUUUGUUGUAUUCAAGUUGCUCGUGGAAUUGGCAUUUUAUUUUUUUCUCGUUGCAUUUUGCUUUUACGCUUGUCUUUAAUUAAUGGAAGAUGCAUUUCUGAUUUGGCAAUUUCAAUUCAAGUGAGUCACACACUGUUCAUUUCACUGUUCUUGUUUACUUUAAUGUUUUUAAUUAUGUUCGGUUUAAUUUCCCUUUUUAAUUUAUUUUAAUUCUCUCUCUAACACUUUCAACCCCCCACUACAUGUUAGACUUAAUGAUACGCGGGGUCCAACCCCAAUGUCUUUAGUGUAGUCUUUCUUUUAUGUACUUUGUAUUGUGUUAGGCAUGUGGGAUUUCUAGUCUUAUAAAUAGCCAUGCCUACACUUCUUGUACUUACUUUUGAGAUUAAUGAGAAUUAGAUUUCUGAAACCCAGAAUUAAUUCUCUCUUGAAAGUCAUUGGCUAGAGAAUCCAAAGACUCCCUCUAGCCACCUUCCUUGCACAUUACCUUUCCUCUCAUUUUCCAUUACCAGAUUUCUCACUCAUCCACGUUGAUCCACUCUUUUGCCGCCACAUGUAGCGCAUCAGCGCUUCCUCCACUGCCACGUUUUCUUCUCUAUCAGACUUCCACGAGCAUUGUCAUUGUUUCAUUCUCACCACACACAAGAUAUUUUAUUCCCUCUCACGCGAGAGCUCUCCUUCCUCACCAGCGUCUUCGUUUCCAACCACACUUCAGAAUCAUCCUCCACCACUCCACAGAUCUGCCACCGUAAGUUUCCUCUCAGAACCAUAACUCUCAUCCUCAUAGAUCUACUUCGUAGAUCUAGCCUUCAUCUACUAGGAUUUCCUAGAUCCAUCACCUUCGGAGCCUUUGACCGAUUGAAAUCUCACUUUAUCACCAUUUUCACCGUCGAUCUACACUUUUCACCGAUAAAAGCCACAUUCCACCGAUUAAUACUCCUUUGCCAACAUUUCCUACCGAUUAGAAUCCUUCUUACCUCAAACCCUAGCCUUUUCUUCGGUCAAAUCACUCAAACCUAGGGUUUUGUUCUUCUGCUGCG